UGAUACACUGGUCUACUUAUAGCCCACACUACAAACACUGCUGUGUCGUUUGUCUCUCUGUGCAGGCCAGGGCCUAUUAUAUGCCACAGCCUAAAGGCAGCAGAGUUGCAGAGGCUGGAGUGACCACUGGCUAUAUGCUUGCAGGGUGGUGGGUCUCAGACAACAACUUCUAACCCUGUUAAAGGCAACACGUGGAGUGCAACUGGUCAUGUGGCAUAGCUGGCUCUGUCCUUGGGACUGUGUGUUUUUAUUUGAUUCAUAAAUGGGACACUGGACUGUUUUAUAUUUUAUCUCUUGAUUAUUUGUCAAUAAAUUAUCUUUUAGAAUUUCA